UCCUCGGUGGCUCGAUUGGUGAGAGCGUCGGACUAAUAAUUCGGAGGUUGCGGGUUCGAGUCCCGCUCGAGGAG